UCACCUCCGAUUCCACAGAAAUACAAACUACCAUCAGAGGUUACUACAAACAACUCUACGCACAUAAAUCAGCAAACCUAGAAGAAACUGAUAAAUUCCUGGACACUUGUGCCCUCCCAAGCCUAACCCAGGAAGAAGUUCAAACCCUGAAUUGACCAAUAACAAGGGCUGAAGAUGAGGCAGCAAUUAAUAGCCUACAAACAAACAAAAAGCCCAGGUCCAGAUGGAUUCACAGCCAAAUUCUACCAGAUGUACAACAAAGAUCUGCUACCAUUCCUACUAAAUCUAUUGCAAAACAUUGAGAAGAAUGACUCCUCCCUAACUCGUUCUAUGAGGCCAGCAUUAUCCGGACACCAAAACCUGGCAGAGAUGCAACAAAAGUAGAAAACUUUAGGCCAAUAUCCUUGAUGAACAUUCAUGCAAAAAUCAUCAACAAAACACUUGCAAACCAAAUUCCACAGCACAUCAAAUGGCUUAUCCACCAUGAUCAAGGUCAGUUCAUGAUCAAGGGAUGCCAGGUCAGUUCAACAUAUGCACAUCAAUAAAUGGGAUUCAUCUCAUAAACAGGACUAAAGACAAACACCACAUAAUUAUCACAAUAGAU